ACCCACCAUGUCCUCAGGUGCAGCUCAACUCAGGGCCACGGCCACCACCCUCAUUCUUUGCUGCCUCCUCAUCAUGUGCCUCCUCAUGUGCUCCAGGCACAGCCCAACCCACAGCCAUGGCCAUCACCCUCAGUCCCUGGAGCCUCCUCCUCAUCCUCCCCUGCUUCAUCCUACCUGGCUGCAGAAGAGAGUCCUUUGGAGUGACAGCUACCAAAUAGGGAAGGGCCCCUUGUCCGGUGGACACGUGACUUGCGUGACCUUACCCAUCAUUGGAGACGACUCACACUCCUUACCCUGCCCUCUUGCCUUGUACACAAUAAAUCACGGCGCGGCCAGGCAUUCGGGGCCACUACCAGUCUCCGCAUCUUGGUGGUAGUCGUCCCGUGGGCCCAGCUGUCUUUUUUUUCUCCUUGUCUUGUGUCUUUAUUUCUACGAUCUCUCAUCUCCGCACACGAAGAGAAAAACCCACAGGCCCUGUAGGGCUGGUCCCUACAGAUAUAGGUGUAAUCCCAGGAGGAGGGGGCUGGGAGAGCCGUGGUAUACCUAACUGAAAAGGAG